UUACAGGUGGGGAAUGCUUGUUUGAGGUUGGUUCAGGAGAUGGUCCAACUUCAGGGGAAAGAUGUUUUCAUCAUGGACCUUCACACGCCCCCAACAUGGCUCCCACCCAUGGAUUGUGACCCUCUGCAUAGUCUUCCUGUGGAUUACGCGAAGAAGACACUGAUAUUUCCUCUGUGGACUCGAGGGCAUUAUCUGCU